CAUAGGCUUUUUGGCUCAAUUUAAGAGCUGAAGAAAACAUAUGAAGAAUUUUUAUAAGCUUUUAUUUUUUUUUUCAGACUCAGUGACAGGAGUUAGGUACUGGGGAUUGUUCUGUUUUAAGGAUUUGUAAGUUGGACCAACGUAAAUGCAAUAUAUCAAGGCAGGGGGCCAUUCCAGUUCUCAGCUUUGGUGUUCUGCAAGGUAAUGUGUAGCAAUCACAGUACUGGCUUUGGUAUCUUGUUAACAGAUCAAUUUCUUAACACUUAACUCUUCAUCGGCUGAUAUCAAAAGAUUCUGCUCAGUUACUUGCAGCGUAUGAAUUUAUGUUUCACUGAAGUCAUUUCUAUACUAACCUUUUCCAGUCCUUUUUUUUUUCAGUCUCUUAACAUAGCACUUUUUUUAAAAGACAGAGUAGUUUUUUAGUUGUCCAAUAGUCCAGAAUGCCUGAAAUGUGGAAACGUUCUUUUGGUUCCGUAGAGGUUUCUCAACAACUCUCUUGGUUGGUUGCCAUAUUCUGACCUCAACAUGAGCCUCAGAUACAUGAGCAAUAGUAGUGCCUCCUCACGAAGGAAGCUGGUACGACUGAGGUGAAAGCAAAGGAAAUAAAGGAAAGAGAAAUUAGUAGGCUACCCAUUACUCCACUUCAUUAAAAAUGUUAAGAGCAUAACUGAUUGAUCCUUUUAGGAAAGGUCUGUGCAAUCUACCAAGACAUUAGUUGCUGUCAAACUUGACUCUGAUUGACAAAUUGUUCAUUUCUGGGUGGUGGAAUUCCUGCUGCUGUUCAGCGAAGGGAAAACAGAUGGCAAUGGGAUAUAAGCACUCUUCAGAGGCGGUCAGAUCUUCUGACUUCUGGAGUCUAAUUAGACUUUAGGCUAGGCUUGUGAAUAAUCUGUAGUCCUGGUAAUUUCUUCUCAGGAACAUUACCUGAAAGAAAAUUGUUGCCUUCAGCCAUACCCCUGAAUGGGGUGAAUCCGUACUGCAAAAGCUACUGUUAAGUCUUGCACUAACUGACAGAGGGGCUAAGGUGAACUGAGGCUGGCUGGUUGUGUGAAAUGAGGAGAUGCUAAAUCAUAGAGUCUUCUGCCAGACUUUCAGAUCAAGGCUGAGGUUCCUCGGUAGAGAAGAAUAGGAAAGCAACUGCAGUUGCUGAAAAGCUGCUGUAAAUGCAACCAUGCCAGCUAAUCAUCUGGCUUUUUGGUAAGAGAACACUUGUUUGAAUAUUUUGGAAAGUGCACUCUGUGGUGCCUAUUGCUGCUACUGGGAAUUAUCCACCCAUAAGUGAACAAAGGGCACGGUCAUCUUUAAGUAGGAUCAUUGGCCUGCUACUGAAUAGUCCGUUCUCCAUGUGACAAAGCACUUAGUGGUAUUUCUCACCCAUUUGUAAGUAACAAAAUGGGUUAUUUUAAAACAUGCUGACAUCAGCCACUGUACAGUCAGUUUGCUUUUUUUAUUCUGUUCACUACAUUUAGGUUUAGCUGGAUCUUAGUGGCCAUAUAGUUUUUGAAAUGUUGGAAAUUUUAGAUUAAUUAUAAAAUACAUAUGCAUAUAACAUAGAAGGUAAUUCUCAGCAUUUAAGAGCGUUCAGUAACACUAAGUGUUCUCUCAUAUUUUAGACCAACGAUAAUCGCUUCAAAUCAGUGUAUUUGAGUUUAACUUCUGUCCUGUUAAUUCACUGUCUGUGAAUCUUCUGAUUUUCUGAAAGUCUCUGACCACCACACUCACCUCUCCGAAAGAAGUUCCAAAAGACUGAAGAGCCCUGCAUCCAAAAUUCAACCUACUAACAAAAGAUACCAUUUUCUUGGCCACCAUUCACAGACCUGUUUCAAAGCCGUUUGUGAGGCUCUAGAGGUUAACUCUGGGUUGAAAAUAGUUGCAUUCAGGUGGUGGGCCUGGAAGGAGAGAAUUAGAGCCAAAACUCCACCUUUGUAAGAGAUCCCUGAACUUGACAAUGUGCAAAUAACCCCUUUGUACUUUGGGGUACAGCUCCUGGACUCUUUCACUUCUCACUUGGACAAAAGUCAGCACUGGUCUUCCUCUCUGGUUUGUACUUUUUGGCCCCAGAUUGCUUGGAAAGCACUUAGUGUAGCACUCUCCUCCCCUCCUGGACUUAUUUCCCAACAUACAGAACUGAGAUCUGUAGCUCAAGGAAUACUGCGUAACCCAUGGCAGACCUCCAGGUAAUAUGCCCUGGAAACUGCUGAUAUGUAUGCAUAUUUUUCCUUGUUCUCUGUCCUUAUGAAAUACAGGAGUGGAGGGAGGACUACAAGGAGCUGUGAGAGUCAGUGCCAUUCCUUAAGCAGGUGAUGGCCCCUCAUGGAAGGCCUGACUGGUUUUGUAUUGCCACAAACUACAGUCGAUCCCUUAGUGACUUCUGGCUCUUCUUUCCGAAUAAGAAACUUCUACUUUUUCACGUUGAGUGGCUCAACUUGAUUUUACAUCGAUGCGUAGUUAGGUAAAAUACUUGAAUAAACUACAUUGUUUGUAACCAUUGUAUUCUUUUUUGGAGAGUACCUUUCCUCACAGCUAUGUCAAACCCCUGAAGGCUAUGUUUAUUCUGCACUGUUAGAGGCUAAUCAUGUAACAAUGUUUAAAUGGCUAUGUUUGCAACAUAGGUGUCCCUUGGAAACUUCUGGGGGAAAAUAAAACAGGUUCGAGUGAGUCACACUGUGAAAUGACAAAUGAAAAUUUCUUGAUAGCACCAAGGCAUGGAUUACUGCAGUAUGUCCUGGAAAAACUGCUUCGCUAGCCAAUAAUCUCUGUGUGUAUAUAACUAUACAAGGUUGAGUUUAAAUGUGAUUUAUCUGAAUCAACUCUCAUUUUUUUAUUAAAAAAAUAAAAUAAAAUAAAUGGAAAUGUAGAAAUCUUUGACAGCUAACACUACAUCAGCUGUUAUUUGAUGAUUCCUCAGGAAGCACGGAAAGGUCUUCAUCAUCAAGGAAAUGAUUCCAGGUAGUAGAGGCAAAUUUUCACCUCAUCAAAUGAUGAGAUGUAACAUGGACCGAACAGAAAACGGGAUCAAUACUUUGAAAAAAAGCAGUACAGUCUCUUUUUUUAUUACUAUUUUUUUACAUUCAGUCUUCGGUUUAUAUUAGGAUAUCUAUCCCAAUUACUGCCAAGCCUCACUACUGGAUUUUCCAAAAGUCGGUAUUUGGCACUUUCAGGCCUUGCCAUUUCCAGAUAAGCACUAUGUAAAAAUCAAAUUUUCCGCUGCUUAAAAUAAAUGAUUAAUUCUUUCAAC
ensembl:lncRNA